rnacentral:piRNA from 1 species
UCCAGAACCCCAGUAUAGAAUAGCAAUAGCA